UACGUAGGUGGCAAGCGUUAUCCGGAAUUAUUGGGCGUAAAGCGCGCGCAGGUGGUUUCUUAAGUCUGAUGUGAAAGCCCACGGCUCAACCGUGGAGGGUCAUUGGAAACUGGGAGACUUGAGUGCAGAAGAGAAGAGCGGAAUUCCACGUGUAGCGGUGAAAUGCGUAGAGAUGUGGAGGAACACCAGUGGCGAAGGCGGCUCUUUGGUCUGUAACUGACGCUGAGGCGCGAAAGCGUGGGGAGCGAACAGG
rnacentral:rRNA from 1 species